rnacentral:lncRNA from 1 species
AGAAUAUGACUGAGUGUCUUGUGUGUGAAGAACUUUUUGGGAAGAGCUACACUUAAAGAUUAUUUCUGAACAAGGAUAAGCUGUCUGUUUGCUACAUCCUAGCCUCCAGUUUGUCCUUUAAAAGGCUGCCACUGCAUCGGUUAGAAGGAAAAGGCCACAACUUCACCACUCCAGCAGGUGCUCUAGGAAGAACUGUGCUAAUAUUAUCCUGUAAAACAGAUCUUGGCUAGUGGAUCAGUCCCACUUCCACGGAGGUCAGUAGGAGCUUUGCCUGAAGGGCAAGGCUGCCCUCUCUGUCUGAAGCCAAAUCUUUUCUCAUACAUCAAGAACUCUUCAUGAUGAAGUAGAAAAGCAGAUGCCAUCCCCUUUCACUGCUUCUCCAGGCAAAGUGUAAACCUCAGUGCACUCAGCAGUAAAUUCCUUUAAACAUUUACAUGAGCUGAAAUUGCUUCAUCCGCUGACCUUU